UGAAACGUGGGGGGAGCGUCGUGGGGAAUACGAGGGGUGCAAGAUGUGCGCUGAAUUGGUGGGGGUAAAGCGCACGUGGGGGGCUUAGCAAGUCCCAGGUGAAAUCCCACGGCUUAAACGUGGAGGUGCAUGGGAAACUGCUGAGCUUGAGUACUUAAGAGGUUCGCGGAAUUCCCGGUGUAGAGGUGAAAGUCGUAGAUAUCGGGAGGAACACCAGUGGCGAAGGCGGCGAUCUGGGAAGAUACUGACGCUGAGGUGCGAAAGCGUGGGGAGCAAACAGGAUUAGAUACCCCUGUAGUC
rnacentral:rRNA from 1 species